UCUGUGUGCCCUUUUUCUUCGUUAGCAAGACAAGUCCUGCACUGUAGCUGGGCACGUGGCAUCCCUUCCCAAGGCUCGGUCCUGUACUUUGUGGUACAGAUUGCUGUGACCACAUGACCAUGUGCUAGCCAAUGGCAUGCGAGCUGAAAGAGGUACCCGACUUGCAGUUCAUGCCCCAAAAGGGGGAAAGAUUGUGCCCUCGCCCUUCCCUUUCUCCUUUUUUCACUGGCCAGAAUGUGAAGGCAAGAGUUGGGAACAGACAGUUUAGCCCUGAGGUGAAAGAUGAGUGUGGAAGAUGCAAAACAGGAUCCCAGGAGCCUGGUCCCAAACUGGAGAGCUGGCCUCUCAGCUCUGGACUGGCUGUGUUCAGACCGUAUCAUGAGAGAGGAAAAUCCUGCCUCUCUUAAGUCGCAAUUAUUUUGACUUUUGUUACAAUAGCCAGACCUGUUUUCUAAUGAACACUGGCAUUCAUUUUUAUACCCUUUGUGCAAACGAGCAUCUGGACCUCAAAGAGACAAAUAACUUGCCUGAAACUGCUUAUAGAACAGUCCCCUCAAGCUGCUCAAAUAUGAUACUUUCUCUUAGAAUUCCUCUCUGAUAUGGAAAUGCCAGUGAAGUCGUGCAGCUCUUCCCCCACACCAAAGGAAUAGCCAAAUCUGAAGGAAACGUGUUCUGGAGCAUCUGCCUGGCUGAGUGGGCAAGUGUCCAUUCUGUUAACUUCCAUCCUGAACUCCCACCUCUUCAGAAGCUGAGUUAGUUUUGAGGUUCAGGUAACCUAUAUGCAGUACCGAGACGCUUACUUGUGUGAUGCCAAAAAAUGAGAUAUGACAGCCAGCGUUUGCUUCAGUCUCCUCCGACAAAGAGAGGAUGCAUCUUCAUGGUGAUCUCAGCACUUCUGAUGCCAUUUGGAAAUUUGGAAACAGCUUGACUAUAUUUGUGAGCCAUAACUUGAUCUCAGUCAUCUCCAAAGCUAUUUCCGGGAGAAGCCUGGCCUUUCUCAGUAAUCAGGAAUCAAAUUCUUGACCUUGAAGAUGGGAGAAAGAACAGAAUGCUUCUUGGUACCACUAUCAGCUGGAUGAAAUUUGAAAACAUCCCCCAGGAUAAAAAGGGGGACAUGCACGGAUAUUUGUACUGCUUUUACCAAUAUCUAGGAUGAACUUGGAGCCAGUAGGCUGGUACUCCAGAGAAAGAGAAAACCAAGUCGGGAGCUUUGGAAACACACGCCUGAGGCCAGGGCUCAGAUGCAAGGGUCAUCAGGCAUCAGGACUCUGAGUUGAGACCAGAAUGAAGAGUGGUCAGUAUCACUUUCAAUGACUGUUUACCAAACCACCUUUGUAUUCACCCUUUUAAUUUAGGGUCCCCAAAGUAUGGUCCUGUUCUUAUGCUCUCAUAAACUUCAGUAAAACCAGGAAGUAAACAAGUGUUUAUUGAACCGACUUACAGGAAGGAAUGAAAGAAUGGUGGUCUCCUUAAUCAUUUCAGGAAAUUUGAAUAUUAACCUAAAUGAAUUUCUAAGUAGUAGAGGCAAUGAGAAGAAAAUGUUUGGGAGCAAGAGCCUCUUUCUAAAAGCAAAGAGACUAGGGUCAUAAACUCAUCUCUUUUCUCCCCGACUUCCUCCUCCACCUCCCUCCACAUAAUAUCCUUCUUGGUGGCAGGUAUAGGACAUCCAUCUGUGCUAUUUUCCUCCUCCAUCAGGUUCUUGCCUGGUGCCUGGAACCCACACUGCUCUGUCUUCCUCCAUUAGUAAGAACAAGGAAAUUGCCUACCGAACAACAGUUCUACUUAGAUAUCCUAGAGGGACUAUAAAUGCCAUCUGAAAAAAUCACUCCCUACACCCAUACCUGCUGAAGGACCUCUGUUAUCAUGGUAUCAUUGCCCACUUGGCCAAGUGAAGAGUUUGGAGAUACUUGGUUCCCUAGGUGGUACUUGAGCUACCAUGAAGGUUUGCGUAGGAGUUUGUAUGCAGUGUGAAGCGUGGGGGGAAGAGGUGUUUUGGAAAACAGAGAUUGUGUCUCAAUGAUAGUGACAAUGUUUCCAUACUGAAGCACCGUAAUGCAUGUGGAUGAUUCAGAAACAGAAUAAGGUUGUGCCAGACAGACACGAAGCCCGGAAGCACCAUGGUUCCUUUCUCCUAUAAAACACAGUCCAACAAGCAAACCAAAAGUAAUUGGAACCAAUCCAUAUUUUUCCUCAGUUUCUCAGGAGAUGGUCAAAGGUGGGCUGGCAUAGAUGAAGUAUGUUUUCAUGCCCAAGAAAAGUAGCAACCUGUUGCACAAAUCCAUUCUCCCCUUAUUCACCAUGCUUCACACUCAUCGCUCCCUAAUAUCUUCUAAAAUCCUCCCAACUCUCAACUCCCAACUUCAAUUCUCAUUCUCUUUCCCAUAUAAAUCUUGCAGCUUCUCCAGAUUACCCCCAGCUAUUAACUUACACCAAACUUCAUAAUAAGGCCCAGGUGGGGAUCCCUGGGUGGCGCAGUGGUUUGGCGCCUGCCUUUGGCCCAGGGCGUGAUCCUGGAGACCCGGGAUCGAAUCCCACGUCGGGCUCCCGGUGCAUGGAGCCUGCUUCUCCCUCUGUGUCUCUGCCUCUCUCUCUCUCUCUCUCUGUGACUAUCAUAAAUAAAUAAAUAAAAAUUAAAAAAAAAAUAAGGCCCAGGUGAAUGUGUGCGUCUGCGUUGGUAGGGAGCCUCUCCUGGAGUGACGGAAAUGGGCUGAUUCAUUCACUUUGUCUCUGCCUGCCACGCUCCUCCUCCAGCUAUCUGCAUGACUUUCUUAAAAACCCCACUACCGAAAACACACAAACAAAAAAGCCGAAGAAGAAAAAGAAAGCCAAACUUGAAAAUAAAAAGGUGAGUAGUUUGUCUUUUCAGCGUGCUUUAGGUACCUUGUUUAAUAGGCUCCCACAAGGGUGGUUUAGGGAAAUGUACUCUAUUUGGCUCACUGUUUACUAGUGAUUAAAAGGCCUAGAGGUAGUGAAGUUUCUCGUUAGUUUGUAGAUUUUCUUCCAGGAGACACCAAAUAAUCUCUGUCUGUUAGAGAAUUUCCAAGAAUAGAGUUUAUAUCAAAUAUAGUAGGACUUUAACCAGAUUUGUCUCUAAUCUAACAUUUUUUUCUUAGUUGAGCAUUCCGUUAUUAAACUUCCUGUGAACACUGGAUUUUUGAAUUCCCUUUAAACCAGUCUUAACAUUUUAUUGAUCCUUUACUAACUACCAAGCAGAAUGAAUUUUUGACAUGUGUUCAGUUUCUAUUUAUAUGAGAGUUGCUUUCUGACUUUUUGAAAAUUACACUUUAACAACUCUCAUGGAACCCUAACUUCCUUCAGAUGCCUGCUCAAAUGCCGCUUUCCUGUGGAGGCUUUCCUCGACCACGCAAUGGAAAAUAAGACCUUGUGUAGAUACUCAGCAUUUCCUAGCUCCCUUCCUUUGCUUCCCUAUAGUAUUUAUGUCCAUUUGAUAUUUUAUUUUGAUUUUUCUUUUGUCUUUAGCCACUAGAAUGGAAGCUCUGUGAAUUUAGGGACUCUACAGCCCACUCCCUGAUCAAUAACUGGCAAAUAGGGAUCCCUGGGUGGCGCAGCGGUUUGGCGCCUGCCUUUGGCCCAGGGCGCGGUCCUGGAGACCCGGGAUCGAAUCCCACAUCGGGCUCCCGGUGCAUGGAGCCUGCUUC